GAUGAAGAACGUAGCGAAAUGCGAUAAGUAAUGUGAAUUGCAGAAUUCAGUGAAUCAUCGAAUCUUUGAACGCACAUUGCGCCCGCCUGUAUUCUGGCGGGCAUGCCUGUUCGAGCGUCAUUUCAACCAUCAAGCCCCCGGCUUGUGUUGGGGACCUGCGGCUGCCGCAGGCCCUGAAAUGCAGUGGCGGGCUCGCUGUCACUCCGAGCGUAGUAGUUACAUCUCGCUCUGGGCGUGCUGCGGGUUCCGGCCGUUAAAAGCCUUAUUUACCCAAGGUUGACCUCGGAUCAGGUAGGAAGACCCGCUGAACUUAAGCAUAUCAAUAAGCGGAGGA
rnacentral:misc_RNA from 1 species